rnacentral:lncRNA from 1 species
UCCCUCUGUAUGCAGAAUAUUGUGCAACAUGGUUAUGGGUACUACAGUGGAUGUGAGUGUGUAGACCUUGUACAAUAGAGCUUAUAGGCUAAUGAGAAGACAGGAAGAAACAACAGGAACACAUAUAGCUGGAAUGCAGAUGGGAUCUGUGCUACUUACGCUAGCCAUGGGAUGAUUAGAACAAGAUAAGAGACAUGAGGAAGACUUCUUCAAGGAGGUGCUCAAGCCAUGUUUUGGAAAAGAGAACUCAAGGUCUGGCAGGGAGAAAGGAGCAAGGGCAAGUAGAGCUGCAGCUGUCUGGCGCCACUGUAAUGCUGUCUCCUCCUCUGAGUGAGUUCAUCCUGGAAACAUUUUCUCCCAUAAGACAUGCACAGGUCUUACGUUUACAUGUUUCACUGAAAGAAAUUUGAUUCCACUGCUGGGAUGACAAGGAAGACUGAAGAAACCUAAUCCUAGGUGCUGCCACUGGGACAAACAAGAAGCACCAGACACAGUGCUGUUUUAGGGUGGGGCAGAAUUAUGCUGAGGGAAAAGUUAUUAUCACUCUUUAAGGCCAAGGAAACCACAAUUUUUAAAGAAGCUUCUAGAAAUUCUACCCAGUAGAAAAUAAAGAUAAACUUCUGUAAGGAAUUUCAUUCUUUUCAGAAUUCGCAAUCUGAAAUGUAGAAGCCCAUUCCUUCAUGGUUCUCAUAGAUAUUUAGUGUGACUGAGGGGUCAGUGGACUCAUAGCACUCAGGCCAGGCUUCUCCUGAGUCCCUUUCUUUGGCACAGAGGGAGUGAUUCACAGAUCCUCUACCCCCAAAGGCAUUGUUUCCUCAUCUCAACAAGAAUCCAGCACCCGUCAUUUUAUCAGCACACGUCACUAGCUUCUCAAGUGAGACUACUCUGAAGUGAUCUGUGUUUGAAGAAUGCCUUUCCCUUUCCCUUACGUAACUAAGAGGAUGAAAAAGGACACUCACUCCCUAUAUGAAAGCUGUGUAUUGUAAGCAGUCAUCUUGCCUGGCUGAGAACUCUAGGAUCUUUUUCUCUGCUCUCCUUUAGGCUGACACUCAUAGCCAGACCUUCUGUUUAUUAGCCCCCUGAAUCUAUUUGAAAAUAUUUUUGCUUUCAUUAUAAUAUAAGUCACAUUCUUCUUGCAUCUGCCGCUGCAUUUUCCAAAAGGGUUAUGUCAAGGGAAAUUCAACACUCACUUUUCUCAUUAUUUGCUUACCAGCUUGCUCACUCAUCAAAAUACCAGAGUUAUUUGAUACUUCAGAAGAUUAUUUCCCCCUUUAGAUGAUGUGUCAAGGGAAGGGGAGCUGGCCCCAGUAUCAGGUGACAGAAUUUUCUUCGCAUUUCUACUGUUGACUCAAUAAAUGCCCUUGGGCAAGUCAUGGAGCCUCUUCAUACUUUGGUCUCUAGGGAUAAAAUCUGCCAACCGCAGCAUGUGUAUUUGAACCUCAGUGUCCUCUGGAAUAAAAAUAGGAGGGGACCAGGUGUCCAUGUGACCCCAAGCUGAUGGGAAGAGGAUGACCAUAGGACUUCAAAAUGUCCUUGAGCUGUAAAUUCUGUAAUAGGGUCAGGCCCACCAGUGGCCUUCAGGCAUUUGUCCAGUGGUGUAUGGAUAAGUUCUAGCACUUGAGUUUUUUCAGCACAAAGGAGGCACUAUGUCAACCUCCCACCCAUGGGUAUUCUGUUUGCUCUGUGUCCCCGCUUCUCUGCAUUUCCCUGCCAUAUUACUCACCACUGGUCGUAAUUACUUGCUUGAUCACUUGUCUCCUGGUCUGUAAGCUGUUUGAGGGAGGGGAGCACAUCUGCCCUAUGCAACACUGUACCCUCAGUGUGGUACACAGGAGCACAUGCCUGACAUAUGGAAGUUAUGUGAGAAACAUUUGUGAAGUGGACAAAUUAAUAAUGCUGCCUGGACUCUAUAGAAAUCCCUUUUCUGCAUCAUUAAGGUUCCCAAGCCUGGCCAAGAAGUAGUGGGAUCUGAUUAGCCUCAUCUCCUCAUAACCCUACUUCCUAUAAUAUUAUAAUGAAAGCAGAUCUCAGCCCAAAUGCUGGCACACAUACAUAUUUAUCAGUAAGAAGAUCCAAAAUCGUUCAUGCAGCUGGUUCUGUAAGCUUGGCAAAUUUCCAGCCCUCUGAACUUUUCAGUGCUUUGUCCACACUCUACAUGAAAGGGCCUCUUAAGAGUGACAGGGCAGUAUUCUAAAGACCAGAUUUUAAUUGCACCAGGUAACUGAAUUGUCUGAAUUCACAGCUGAACACAGGACAAGGUCAGAAUCAUAUUUCUUAUGCCAUUUAGAAAGGUGACAAGUGAAGGGCUGGCCAAAAUCUUACACCCAGCUUACGUAAGAGUAGAGACUGUCCCUAAUGCUUUCCCCAGUCCACUUGUCUCGAACACCAUUAGGUUCAAUAGUAAAAGCCCAUUUCUCACUUGCUUCAUGUUAAUUGACUGAUCACUAAUUUUACCAAUAAGAAGCCAUUUUUAUUAUUUAUCAUUAUGAUUUUUAUCAUUUUGUUAAUUAGCCAAGCUUCUGCUGUUGACUCCAGAUAAAGAGAGUUAAAGCACUUGGGGUGACCACCUAAGUAGAUUUUUUCAUGGUGAACAAAUGGAAGCAACAGAAACAGCUCAGACUUUUGAAAAGUGAUGAAAAAGGCCCAUGAUGCCCUGCUCCUUGAAAAUGAAGAAGAGGAUGACUUAGCCCUGCAGGGCUCUUUUCUUUGCAUGUUCUUACCAACCCUCAGGGGAGAUUCAGUCUACUAGCUGGCUUCCCCACGUGGACCUCACUCUGUGGCAAGUAACUGGGAGUAAUUUACCUUCUGGGUUCUCUUACAACCCCCUUAGCUAUGUAGGUGAUUUCAGGCCCAAGGGGGAAGAUAUCAGAUAAGCCAGAACAUUUUGAUUCUACUGACCGAGUUUCCUCACCUCCCUCCCUUUGUUUCUGAUAAAUACAUACGUUAAGGU